rnacentral:rRNA from 1 species
AUACAUGCAAGUCGAGCGGACUUGCUGGAGCUUGCUCCAGCAGGUUAGCGGCGGACGGGUGAGUAACACGUGGGCAACCUGCCUGUAAGACUGGGAUAACUCCGGGAAACCGGAGCUAAUACCGGAUAGUAUCUUGAACCGCAUGGUUCAAGUUGGAAAGACGGUUUCGGCUGUCACUUACAGAUGGGCCCGCGGCGCAUUAGCUAGUUGGUGAGGUAAUGGCUCACCAAGGCAACGAUGCGUAGCCGACCUGAGAGGGUGAUCGGCCACACUGGGACUGAGACACGGCCCAGACUCCUACGGGAGGCAGCAGUAGGGAAUCUUCCGCAAUGGACGAAAGUCUGACGGAGCAACGCCGCGUGAGUGAUGAAGGUUUUCGGAUCGUAAAACUCUGUUGUUAGGGAAGAACAAGUGCGAGAGUAACUGCUCGCACCUUGACGGUACCUAACCAGAAAGCCACGGCUAACUACGUGCCAGCAGCCGCGGUAAUACGUAGGUGGCAAGCGUUGUCCGGAAUUAUUGGGCGUAAAGCGCGCGCAGGCGGUUUCUUAAGUCUGAUGUGAAAGCCCCCGGCUCAACCGGGGAGGGUCAUUGGAAACUGGGAAACUUGAGUGCAGAAGAGGAGAGUGGAAUUCCACGUGUAGCGGUGAAAUGCGUAGAGAUGUGGAGGAACACCAGUGGCGAAGGCGACUCUCUGGUCUGUAACUGACGCUGAGGCGCGAAAGCGUGGGGAGCGAACAGGAUUAGAUACCCUGGUAGUCCACGCCGUAAACGAUGAGUGCUAAGUGUUAGAGGGUUUCCGCCCUUUAGUGCUGCAGCUAACGCAUUAAGCACUCCGCCUGGGGAGUACGGUCGCAAGACUGAAACUCAAAGGAAUUGACGGGGGCCCGCACAAGCGGUGGAGCAUGUGGUUUAAUUCAAAGCAACGCGAAAAACCUUACCAGGUCUUGACAUCCUUUGCCACUUCUAGAGAUAGAAGGUUCCCCUUCGGGGGACAAAAUGACAGGUGGUGCAUGGUUGUCCUCACCUCGUGUCCUGAAAUGUUGGGUUAAUUCCCGCAACGAACGCAACCCUUGAUCUUAAUUGCCAGCAUUCAUUUGGGCACUCUAAGGUGACUGCCGGUGACAACCCGAAGAAAGGUGGGGAUGACGUC